rnacentral:tmRNA from 1 species
UAGAACUGCCCGGCAAAGGCUUGCGGACGCGGGUUCAACUCCCGCCAGCUCCACCA